CCUCGGGUGCAGCCCUAAAGCAAAAAAAAAAAAAAAAAUCUGAAUAUGCAUCCAGCCUUGCUCCAAAAGCUUAGGCAUGAAUAGCUUUAGCCAGAAAGAAAAAAAAAAAAAAAAAAAAACCUGUGUUGGCUAUUAUUACCCAACACUAUCUUUUCUUCUAUUAGCAGAACAUUUUAGAUGAACAGUUUUGAGGCAGCAGAUUUCACUGUAAGAUUAAAAGUAUUUAGCUCAGUUCUGUUCAAACAGAGGUUGAUAUUUUUUGAGUGUUUCAGGACUUGGUUUAAUUCUCUCUGGCACCUGGUAAGUUAAGAAGGUAGAGGAUUUUAGGAUACUGGGAGAAUUCACUGGGGUGGGAAAAUGGUGGUCCGGCAGCUGUCACCCAACGCCCCUGCCCUGCACCCUGCGUGAAGGUCAUGGCCCUCUUCCGUAACAAGAGGAGCUGAGUCAGGCCAAACUUUGGAGCUGACCUGGGCAGUCUUGAGUGGCAGUGGAGAUUGUAAAAGCCUGCAAUGAAUUGUCAGCCUUGGUUUUCCUAAGAAGAAAGACAAGCGAUUACCUUUCUCUGCCCAGGCACUGCUCUGAGUGCUUCACAUCUAUUAUUUGUAAUCCUCUCCACAGUCCUUUGGAGAUAAGUACCAAGCUUCCUCUUUGCAGGUGAGGAAACAGAGGCGCCUAAUUGAUAUUAAGGUCACCUGUCCAAGAUCUGCUAGCAGAGCACCUGGUAAGUGGCCCAGGCCCUGAGCUUUUAAACUCUGCCCUCCAGUGAAUCUCCAUUUUUUAAAAAAGCGCUAGUGUGGAGGUGAGUCUGUGUCCUCAAAGGUGUAACACAGACAAGAGAGCAGUAAAAUUGACCUUGAUGGCUCCCACGUGGCUAUGGACUGAGUUUUUAUGUCUCCCCAGCAUUCAUAGGUUAAAUCCUAAUGCCCAACGCAAUGGUACUAGGAGGUGGGGCUUUGGGGAGGUGAAUAGGUCACGAGGACAGAGCCCUCAGGAAGAGAUUCAUGCCCUUAUGACAGAGACCCCAGAGAGCUGCUCCUGCCAUGUGAGGACACCAUGAGAAGAUGACCAUCGGCAGCCAGAAAGGGGACUCUCACCUCUGCUCGCACCUGGAACUUGGACUCCCCAGCCUCCAGAACUGUAUGGUUUGUGCCUAUGAAAUCUGAGCUUAAAGGUCUUUGGGAGCCAGGACAAGGACUCUGUUUCCAGGUCGUUUUCUAUUAUGCAUCUUCUGGGUUGUGGCUUACUCUGCUGUAGUAGCCCCAGUGGAAUUGUGGAAGGAGGGCAAAACCUAGAAAACCUGAAGCUGGAAGGUAUAUUUGUCCACUGGAUGAAAUACACAAGCUUGGAAAGCUACAAGUGAGAUCGACAACCUAAGCAGCACUGAGCAAAAGUCGCUUUUGAGGUGGUGAAGGGGUUAAUCCCUUGACCUUCUGAGUUGAAGAAAACUCAAGGGGCUGAACAAGGAUGCACAGAAAAUAAGAUGUGAGUCAUUGGUUCCAGGAACUUAAUGUUCUCGAUGAAGAACCAUCCGGAGCAGCCAGCUCUAAUGAAGCAUCUUUGAAUUAAUUGGAUACCUUCGUAACUCCAAAGGAGAAAUUAAAUAAAUGAAUUGUGUGAAGCCAA